rnacentral:rRNA from 1 species
GACGAACGCUGGCGGUGCGCUUAAUACAUGCAAGUCGAACGGUAAGGCCCUUUCGGGGGUACACACGUGGCGAACGGGGGAGUAACACGUGGGUAACAUCCCCUAAUUAACGGGCUAACAGUCGGAAACGGUUGCUUAUACUGGAUAUGUGAUAGCGAGGCAUCUUGAUGGUUGGAAAGUUUUUUUUUGGAAGGGGAUGGACUCGCGGUCUCUCAGCUAGUUGGUGAGGAUGUGGCUCACCAAGGCUUAGACGGGUAGCUGGCCAGAGAGGGCGACCGGCCACAUAGAGUCUGAGAUACGGCCGAAACACCGACGGGAGGCAGCAGGGGGAAAGUUUGCACGAGGAACGGAAGGCUGAUGCAGCAGCGCCGCGUGCGGUAUGACGGCGUUCGAGUUGUAAACCGCUUUCAAUAGUGACGAAGCUUUUUUGUGACGGUAGCUGUAGAGGAAGCACCGGCUAACUACGUG